AAAAAAACUUGAGUAAAGACCGAACUCUCUCUCUCUCUCUCUUUCACCGGCCCUGGAGCCUUUAUAGGGUUUUGAUCAUGUCUCUUUGUUCUAGUACCAAUCCAGAGGAUUUUUCCACCCCGAUCUGUUGUAGUGUGGUGGUUCUAACAUUAAUUGCUUUGUAAUUCACUUAUUGCUUUAGAUUUUAAGUCUCAGUUGGGUCUUGUUUUCCUUUUCUCUCUCUUAUUUUCUUCUAUGUUUGUAUCUGCUUUUCAAACUACUAUGACGACUAAUGCUGUUGAUUACACUUCUCAAGAUUUAAAGAUUAUUAUAUUUAAAGUUAGGCUUGUAUCUUGGAAAGGUGGUGACAGUAAGUUAUCAUUGCGAUUCUCGACUCUUCUUUGUUGGCACAGGUAAAGGAAAAGAAAAGCUCACCUAGCCUUGAGUGGAGAGCUUAGGUGGUGAUGUGUACAUAUGCGGCCGCUUGACCACCACGGCCAAGGAGUUCUUAGAUGAACUAGGGGGUUUACCCUAUUUUUGCCGCUUAGGUCGGCGGGAUUGUAAAAUUUAAAAUAGUAAUGACCAUUUUGUACUGAGAACAACUUGUAAAUGUUUUGAUUAGCUCUGUAGAGCAGUUUGUAAUGAGAAUAUCAAUUUCCUUUUUAU